CCAAAAUUAUGCAAAUUAAUUAUGUUACUUAAGAUGUCUAGUCAUGUAUUAUUUUACCUAGUUAAGUAUGUAUAUGUUAGUAACUUGAUUAGAAGGAAGGUUAUAUGACAAAUAAAAUAUCUAAGUAAAUAGGAGGACUAAACUUGUUAAAAGGUUGAAAGUUUAAUAAAUAAAAGAAAAAAAUAAAAAACACACACCCUGGUGUGAUGGCGUGGAUCGAUCAGAGCAAAGGGGGGAGAAGACAAACCCUAACUUCAUGAAAUUCUCAAGAAUUGAAAGAGAUUAGGAGCCCAAACUAAUGCAUGAACUCGAAACUUCAAUCAUCUAAGCUUGUACAACAAGCGGAACGUGUCAAGGAGAGGUCAAGCAUAGGAGGAUAACGGGUCAAGAUAAGGCAAGAUGACAAAUACACUUAUUGGAGUACUCGAGGUAAGUGAAUUUCGAUUCACUUUUUAGUAGGUUUAAUAGAUUUUAAUACUUAUGUUUACGAAACAUCAUGAAAGAACAUGUAAUAAUCAGAAGUACAAAGCCAAUAAUGCCUCAUUAUUGAAGAAGGUUGUAUUUAAGCCGAAAGUAAAUUGGUGGGUUUAAACGGGUCGAAUUUUAUGUGCAUAUGUUGUGUAAUGAAAUGAAAUUCGUUAUGGUUAAGACCUUGGGUAAGAAUUUUAGUCAUUAUGUAAGGGGAACAUUUCCCGGACCAUUAGGUACAAGUUUUAUAUGAUUCGGUUGUCGGUCAAUGAAUGAACGGAUUGUUUCGUUUUAGUGUAGGAAAUUUUAUAAGUAUAUGUGUAUAGGAAUCCAAAGGCCACGUGGGUUGAAUCGUAGAUUGUCUAUACUAUGUAAAGUUUUGAAUGUGACAUUCCGGCAUAAACCUACAUGUAAAAGAAGCUUGUGUAUAUAUUCGUGAUUAAUUGAUUGUGCGAAGGAAGGAACAUUGGCAUGGAUGAAGGUACGCACAUAUAUAUAUAAGUGUAUAUAUAUAUAUAUAUGUAUGUAUGUAUGAUAAUAAGUACGUAGGUGUGAAUGUAUGUGUGAAUGAAUGUUCAAUGCUUAAGACAUAUGCAUGAACGUAUCAAAGGGUUCGAGUAUUUAUGGAUACUAAUGAUGUGCGUUGAGUUGGAAUGUAAUGUAGGUAUGGGGUCGUUGGCUUCAUGAAGAAAUGGAGCUGGAUUUGGAUAAGAGUAUUUAAGAAAGCGCUUGGACAAUUCCACGACUACUUUAUAGAAUGCUCUACGAAAUUUUAUUAUAUAGUUUAAUGUUGAAUGGUAUGUUAAUAACUAAUGGUUUGGUUGUACGUGGUGUCCACAGGUAUCGCUUGGGUUUUCUCUACUUUUAUUGAAGUGAAGCGGACUUAGUUCGAGUUGAGAGCAAGGAUUGUACGGGGUAGAAUGGUCACAUAGUGUAACUCAUAUAGGUUUUGAAGUAUUAAUGUUAUAAAACGUUAUAAAUCCGUUUUAAUGAAUAUAUGGCAUUUCGCAUUUGAA